rnacentral:rRNA from 1 species
UUGACCUCAAAUCAGGUAGGACUACCCGCUGAACUUAAGCAUAUCAAUAAGCGGAGGAAAAGAAACUAACAAGGAUUCCCCUAGCAACUGCGAGUGAAGCGGGAAAAGCUCAAAUUUAAAAUCUGGUAGUCUUUGGCUGCCCGAGUUGUAAUCUAGAGAAGCAUUAUCUGCGCUGGACUGUGUAUAAGUGUCCUGGAAUAGACCAUCAUAGAGGGUGACAAUCCCGUCUUUGACACAGACUCCCAGUGCUUUGUGAUGUGCUCUCAAAGAGUCGAGUUGUUUGGGAAUGCAGCUCUAAAUGGGUGGUAAGUUCCAUCUAAAGCUAAAUAUUGGCGAGAGACCGAUAGCGAACAAGUACCGUGAGGGAAAGAUGAAAAGAACUUUGUAAAGAGAGUUAAACAGUACGUGAAAUUGCUGAAAGGGAAACGCUUGAAGUCAGUCGCGUUGGCUGGGGAUCAACCAUUGCUUUUGCUUGGCUUACUUCCCAGUUGACGGGUCAGCAUCAGUUUUGACCAGUGGAUAAAGGCUAGGGGAAUGUGGCACCUCCGGGUGUGUUAUAGCCCUUGGUCAUAUACAUUGAUUGGGACUGAGGAACUCAGCACUUUAAGUGCUUAGGAUGCUGGCAUAAUGGCUUUAAGCGACCCGUCUUGAAACACGGACCAAGGAGUCUAACAUGCCCGCAAGUGUUUGGGUGGAAAACCCAA